GGAGGAUUAGCUCAGCUGGAAGAGCAUCUGCCUUACAAGCAGAGGGUCGGCGGUUCGAGCCCGUCAUCCUCCACCA
rnacentral:tRNA from 1 species